rnacentral:rRNA from 1 species
UACAGAGGCUGCAAGCGUUAUUCGGAUUCACUGGGCGUAAAGGGUGCGCAGGCGGUCGGGGGAGUCAGGUGUGAAAUCCCGAGGCUCAACCUCGGAACUGCGUCUGAAACUACUCGACUAGAGUACUGGAGAGGGUAACGGAAUUCACGGUGGAGCAGUGAAAUGCGUAGAUAUCGUGAGGAACACCAGAGGCGAAGGCGGUUACCUGGACAGUUACUGACGCUCAGGCACGAAAGCAUGGGGAGCAAAAGGG